AGAGUUUGAUUCUGGCUCAGGACGAACGCUGGCGGCACGCCUAACACAUGCAAGUCGAACGGAGUUAGCAAGAAGUUACUUGAGCUAACUUAGUGGCGGACGGGUGAGUAACACGUGAGUAACCUGCCUUUCAGUGGGGAAUAACGGCUGGAAACGGUCGCUAAUACCGCAUAACGUCUUGGAGUCGCAUGACCCUGAGACCAAAGAUUUAUCGCUGAAAGAUGGACUCGCGCCCGAUUAGCUAGUUGGUGAGGUAAUGGCUCACCAAGGCGACGAUCGGUAGCCGGACUGAGAGGUUGAACGGCCACAUUGGGACUGAGACACGGCCCAGACUCCUACGGGAGGCAGCAGUGGGGGAUAUUGCACAAUGGGGGAAACCCUGAUGCAAGCGAUGCCGCGUGUAGGAAGACGGUCCUCUGGAUUGUAAACUACUGUCUUCAGGGACGAUAAUGACGGUACCUGAGGAGGAAGCUCCGGCUAACUACGUGCCAGCCGCGGC
rnacentral:rRNA from 1 species